AUGUUUGCAAUUGAACUUUAUUAUGUUUAUACUACAAGGCAAGUAUUAAUAAUAUUGCCUCGGAUUUGUGACUUUGCAAGUUGCCAAAUUUUGCUGUAUGUGACAUUAUUUUUCGUUUUGCUGGUUUGCUUAUGUAUAUUAUUCUUUUGUUGUUUUGUAAUCAAUCAUCUACUACAUCUAAACCCGGCUUUGUUUUCCUGCACAAAUAUUGCACACUGCCUUGAUCACUCCGUUCUUGUAAAACUAGACUCCACUGGAGUGUUCUACAUUAGAGAAAUAUUUAUGAUGUGGCCACAAAUCAGGCACAGUCAAUGUUAUUUAUUUUUGUUUACUAUGUCAUUUUUGUGA
rnacentral:rRNA from 1 species